GCCGCUAGGUGUCAGGCUUUUAAAUCUGUGAUAUUUCAGUCAUUUUAUGAUCAAUGUAUUGUCGAAUGUAACGCCGAACGGGAAAAUGUUGGAGCCACAGUAAUAGACUCUUUCAAGGUCAAGAUGCCAUAAUGAAACACGAAGUGUAAGCAGUGGCGUGCUGGGUACUAUUUUUCUGGAGGGGCCAGUGGGCUGUCAACCAAUAUGCGCCCCUAUAAUGUUACACUUGAUAAACGAGGGCCGAAGGCACGAGCCGAGUGCCGCAGGUGCGAGGUUUGUCUAGGGGGGUCCGGGGGCAUGCCCCCAGGAAAAUUUUUGAAUUUAGAGUCUCUGAAAUGCCAUUUCCUGGACUUUGGGGGAAGAUUUGACAGAAAUCUGAUGGUCAGGAAACGGCAUUAUAACGUGUCGAAAUUUGCAAUUCGGUUAGAAUUUAGUAGCAGUACUUAAAUUAUGCAAUGCUAACUACUUCCAGCGAUUAAUCUAAUCCCAAUUCUGUUCUCUACUGAUCUACUGUUCUGAGUACAUUUACAACUUAAAGCUCUUUUAUACAAUAACACAAGCAACCCACGCAUAUGCAUUUUAAGGUUUCCUUGCCUGGCUGCCAAAAGGGC